rnacentral:rRNA from 1 species
AAUCAACGCUGGCGGCGUGCCUAACACAUGCAAGUCGAGCGAGAAAGUGGGAGCAAUCCCAUGAGUACAGCGGUGACCGGGUGAGUAACACGUGACUAACCUACCCUUGAGUGGGGAAUAACUCCGGGAAACCGGAGCUAAUACCGCAUAACACCGUAAGGUCAAAGGAGCAAUUCGCUUAAGGAGGGGGUCGCGGUUGAUUAGCUAGUUGGUGGGGUAAUGGCCCACCAAGGCGAUGAUCAANAGCCGGCCUGAGAGGCGCACGGCCACACUGGAACUGAAACACGGUCCAGACUCCUACGGGAGGCAGCAGUGGGGAAUUUUGCGCAAUGGGGGAAACCCUGACGCAGCAACGACCGCGUGAAGGAUGAAGGUCUUUGGAUGUAAACUU